rnacentral:rRNA from 1 species
GGAGGGUGCAAGCGUUAUUCGGAUUUACUGGGCGUAAAGGGCGCGUAGGCGGCUUGAUAAGUCAGUCGUGAAAGCCCGGGGCUCAACCCCGGAAGUGCGGUUGAAACUAUCAGGCUUGAGUAUGGUAGAGGGAAGUGGAAUUCCAGGUGUAGCGGUGAAAUGCGUAGAUAUCUGGAGGAACACCGGUGGCGAAGGCGACUUCCUGGACCAAUACUGACGCUGAUGCGCGAAGGUGUGGGUAGCAAACAGGAUUAGAUACCCUGGUAGUCCACACAGUAAACGGUGAUCACUAGGUGUUGCGGGUAUUGACCCCUGCAGUGCUGGAGCUAACGCAUUAAGUGAUCCGCCUGGGGAGUACGGUCGCAAGAUUA